ensembl:snRNA U6 U6 spliceosomal RNA
GUGCUCACUUCAGCAGCACAUAUAUUAAAAUUGGAAUGAUACAGAGGAGAUUAGCAUGGCCUCUGCUCAAGGAUGACAUACAAAUUUGUGAAGCAUUCCAUGAAAAC